rnacentral:rRNA from 1 species
UUCCAGACUCCUACGGGAGGCAGCAGUGGGGAAUAUUGGGCAAUGGGCGCAAGCCUGACCCAGCAACGCCGCGUGAAGGAAGAAGGCUUUCGGGUUGUAAACUUCUUUUCUCAGGGACGAAGCAAGUGACGGUACCUGAGGAAUAAGCCACGGCUAACUACGUGCCAGCAGCCGCGGUAAUACGUAGGUGGCAAGCGUUAUCCGGAUUUAUUGGGUGUAAAGGGUGCGUAGACGGAGAAGCAAGUUAGUUGUGAAAUCCCUCGGCUUAACUGAGGAACUGCAACUAAAACUACUUCCCUUGAGUACUGGAGAGGAAAGUGGAAUUCCUAGUGUAGCGGUGAAAUGCGUAGAUAUUAGGAGGAACACCAGUGGCGAAGGCGACUUUCUGGACAGUAACUGACGUUGAGGCACGAAAGUGUGGGGAGCAAACAGGAUUAGAUACCCUAGUACU